GAGUGCGUAGUCCCAAGCAUUGCCUGGAGUGGGUAUUCCGGAGCACGGUAGUGUGGAGCAUGGAAGUUUGCGGUUUGGGACACAGCCAAUCUCUCUCCUGGCUGGCUCGCCAAAUGAUUUCCUCUGUAACAAGUGUUUCAAUGCUAACACCGUUACUAGAAUGGAUAAAAUCAGGUAAGUAUGGACCAGAUCAGAAGACAACAGAUUCAACUCGAGAGAGAGGCGGUUUGCACAUCAAGAAUGAAGCACAUGGAAGCAGGAUCUAUAUUUCAAAGGUCGAUCACAUGGGUGGCUCGCCAGUCCGCGCGCCGCUGUAGCUCUCCGGGGAAGGCAAGCAGGGGCAGACGAAUCCAGGAUCCAGCACAGCAGUUCAAAUCGAACAACAACCAAAAACCAACACACACAAAAAGAAAAACCCGGCCUUGCAACACAAAGCCAAAAGACUCAUCAGUAGUCUGUACAUUCAGAUUAUUAAGACAUAGUAUACACUGUGAACAUCUAAAUUGUAUAACACUUGCAACUUCCCAUUUACUCUGUUAAAUAAACUUGGUGAAAGCCCAUA